AUUUAGACCAAAAUAACGGAGGAUGCCAGACCAUUCCAAACUGUUUCUGUUCACUGAUUAGCCCCGAUUUGGGUUUUUGAGUCAGCGUUUGAGUGGAUUGUUGUGAUAACAUUAUGACCUAUGUUUCAUGAAGCCUUGACCAAGGCAGUCAUUCUUGCAUAGUGGAAACAAUGAAAUGAAUAGGGGCACCUGAUCACUAUUUUCUGCUACAAACUUCCGUGCAAAGGUGUGAAAAUCAGAUGUAGAAACACAGUGCUGUUAUAUGCUGGAUGUAACGAUAACUUGGUUAUUCAUGUGGAGUUGCAAAGAGCUAGUAUGUAGCUCCAAAAUGUUGAAUAAAUAGGUUGAUUUUUAAAUCCAGUGCCACUGUAUUCUGUUUCUACAGAAUAUUACUAAACCUCCUCUCUCCCCAGAUGAAUCCAUUAUGAUGAUUUAUCAGGACUUUGGUUUUAAACAAAUGGCUUAAAUGUUUGGGAGCAUGUAGCCCAUAAUAGUUGGAACCAAAUGAUUUGUUGAGAUAGAUAAAUCAUCCUCUAUAUAAAUUCCUGUAUGGUUUUGGUUAUUCACCACGAAAGAUCUGUAUUUUUAGUCUAAGGGUACUUUAGGAAAAUAUUUUUACUUAAAGUCUUUUAACAAAAAUAGUGUUGACAGUGUGUAGUUUAACUUGGAUCUGGUGAUCAAGGGAAUAUAUUUUUUAAUUAUUUUCUUGCCUUUUUUUAACAUUAUGCAGUACCUUAUUUGAGAGGAGAACUUCUAUUAUAAGGUGAUGUUAUAAGGCCAUAAUCACUAACUUAGGCAUCUCAGAUGUUUGAACCACUCCUAAUACCCAGCAAACCUAGUUACAAAAUGUUUGUUGUGCCAAUGUUUAAAAUGAUUCAGCCAAUGCAUAAAAACUGGAAAAAAAUUAUACUUUACCAUCUUUUGAUGUUUACAGUGUGAAGCAGUGCCUUUAAGCCCCUAAAGGUUAUCUCCAUCUUUUGUAUCCUGACUUGUCUGCUUCUUUAUUUUAAAGAGACAAUAUGCAUUUAGACUUUUAUGCCUCUACUUUCUGCGACAUGGUUCUAAGAUUUUUUUUUUUUAUUUUUUUUUCAACUACUUAAAUUUCUAAGAAGUGUUGCAGAAGAAAUACAUAUUUACUUUAAUAUGUAGAACUGCCAGUGGGCCAGUACGGUGCUUAUUUCACAUAAAGGCAUAUUGUAAUACAGCAGUUAAUUGUUGUGUUCUGUAACACAACCCAAAAUCUUUCCCUCAAUUCUUCCAUGUUCUCCAUUCUGCAGUCUUGUUCAUCAUGCUUUUCAGCACAGGGCAUUUGUGAGAAUAUAGUAAAUUUCUCUUUAGAAUCUGUAGUACUCUUUCAGACCGCCAGGUAACUCUGCCCUAGAACUAGUUUCAUUUAAAACUCUGUGUUGGAGACCUGUUUAACAUGACAUUACUUUUUCAUUCUGUGUGUAUUGAAUUUUAAUCACUGACUUUAUUUAGUGAAGGAUACAGUCUCUGAAGUCUGUCACAUUGUUUUAAACAAAGACUUAAAGGGUUAUCCACUAAAGUGAAUAUUUGUGAGAAUUAAAAGUAAGUUUUAAAUUAAGGCCCAAAAUAGUUUAACUGGAAUCAUUCUCAAUGUCAGCUCUGCUACCAGUGCAGUCUGUAACUUGAAAUUAACUUUGAAUUCUUGUAUUACCUGACUAUUUUCACGUUGGUAAAUAACCCUGCUAAUCCCAAACAGAUACUUUUCAAUGAGUAUUUUUUUUUUAAACAGAUUUUUCUUAACUUUAAUAGGAAAUACUAGAUUGGUGCAUUAUUUCUCAGCUAAUCUAAAGGAAGAACUGACCACUGCAUCAGUGUCUAGUAGAUUUACUAAAAGGGCUUUAGUAUCGUAGGUAUAAAAUUAGGAUUGAGGUAUCCCGCAAUGUUGUUCCUCUAAAAAAAAAAAAAAGGUUCUAAAACUACGAUCAUAUUGAAUUUCACACACUGGAUGGGAUAAUAAAGUAUUAAAGUCAUAUCCCUAUUAAAUGAGUUUUUUUUUUAAAAUUUAUAUAUAAUUUUAUAUUAAUGUUUUUUUUACUCACACAUCUAUUGGGAUCUGACUAUCAAAUAUUUUUUAUAAAAAAGUUAAAUCCCUAAAGUUCUCAUCCACCUAUUUGAAAAAAAUAGAACGUUAUUAAAAAAACAACUUGGUAUUCUCUUCCAUGUCGUGUAUGCACAAUAGAAUCAAGAAAAAAUUACUAAUCCUGUAUGCCUUACUACUGAUGAGGCAUGUGUAUAAAACUUAGAAAAUAACAGACCAGUGCACACCAAAUGUGUAUAUAAAAAAGUGACGUUUACAAUGUCCACUUAAUACAUGGGAUUUAAUGUUAAUAUUUGUACUAACUGGAGGAAACAAAUUGUCAGUAAGGUAAGAAAAUACAACAAAUGUAAAUAUUAUUUGGUACUUGACAUUUAUCACCAAAGUGUCUGCUCUCUUCUGCAGUUUUAAUUGUCUGGAACAACGUCCCAGCUAGGAAAUUUCAAUUCAGGGAGUUGAUCUUGAUCAGUGGGGAUGGGUCAUUAAAAAGUCAAGACAGGUGAAUUUGCAUAGCCAAAACUUUACUCUUCUUUCAGUUGUUUAAAAUAAAAGAAAAAAGUGGUCUGUAGCAGCUGUUUUGACAAAAUUGACCCAAUUUGGAGUGGUGGGAUGUGCUAAUUUAUUUUUGAAUAUCAUUAAGAUUCCUGCUACUCUCCAUCAAAUACACCAAAUAACAAAUGCCUAUAUUUGAACUGUAAAUUCCCUUGUUCUUACACUCUAGCACUGGAAUUUAGAUAUUGACUUCCUAAUGUAUAAAACAGCAGAUCCAUUUUUCUUCAAAAAUAUGUAGCCAAGAAUACUAUAACUUACGUUUUUAUAAAAGCUAUGCAAACCUUUACAGUUUUUGUGUUUUUCCAUUAAAAAAUGCGUAGUCACUGUUUAGCAGUUUUAUCAAAUGCAUUUUAGUUUAGUGAAACAACUCUUCCAGUGUGUAAAAAAAAAUAAAUUAAAAAAAAAAAAAAUUCUAUGGAACGGACAUUGGCCUUAGAAAGAAAUGUUUAUUAUCCUCAGAAUCCUAUUGCGAGGACUGUAAUAUGUCAAAUUACCACCUUGGAAAGUUCACUGUUUUAUAUAUUGAAUACUGAGCAAUUGUACUAAUCUGCAAUACAUUAAGGUCUUCAGAAAAAAAAGUUGUGGUUUUGUUUAAUUGGUCACAUUACUUAUGCAGAGCCUAAAUGUAGGCAGACUAUUGCUAGAGAACAUGUGGGCAGUUGUUUAGGUUUCUAUAACCCCCUCCCGUUUAAGACUAGUGACGUUGAUGGGAUUGCCUUAUCUCAAUGUUUUGUAGUUGAUACGCUUUGGACUCAGUUGGCAAUAUACCUAGUCAUAUCGAGAAAAUCAAUUUGUCUCCUGCCCUUUAGAAGUGGUUUACAUAACCACAGGCUGCAGUUGUCAGAAAAAAAUGAAGGGUGAAAUAAUCUUUAUAUAUUCUUGAGGCUUGUCCAAAACACUGUGUAUAUGACAAGCCAUAUCUGCACCACUAAGGUACGGCAAGCUAGUUACUCUUCAGUUAUUUUGGAUGUACAACUCUCACUAUGGUCUCCCAGCCUAAGAGCUCCUCUGGGGCUAACCCCAACCUAAUGUGUAUACCUAUUUGGAUAAUCAAUGCAAAUUCUGUUUUUGGUUUACCAAAAUGUACACUCUAAAAUUUGAAGAAACCAGCACCAUGAAAAAUGUGUUUAUUUGAAAAUGUUUAUAAUGGUAUAAUUGAAUUUCUAAAACUUUAGGUUUGAAUUCUAGUAACUACCUGGAGAAAACUUACAGCAAUGUACCUUUUUCUCCCAAGUUUGGUACCAUGCAUGUAUUUUUAUGUUUGCUUUUGUCAAUUAUCUGUUGGAUCUGUCAGUGUUUUAAAUUUAACCAAGAUCUUGCAUUGGAGGAAGCAAAAUAUGGAUAUGCUUGCAUGGUGGUGAGUUUCGAUGCUCUAAUCUUUGUCCUGACUGCCUAGAGAAAUUAGCCUCUAGCUCCCACUGAUACCAGUGCUGCCUUGCUCAUCCAUUAAAUUGCCUAAUUCACUUAAUCGUGACAUCCUAUCCUAUUAGAUGAGCUGCUCUUAAAUUUGAGUCAUGAGUGGACAAUUUAUUUUUAUAUAUAUAUUUUAUUUUAUUUUAUUGAAGGUCACCAAAUCACAGUGCACUGUUAAAACAUGGAUGCUGAACAAUUAUGCAACAAGAGUGGGGAAAGGUGCUUAUUUUAAAGACUGACAAAACUGUUUGCAGAAUAUGGCACAAGUUGUUUGUGUUUUGUACACCUGCUUUUUAGAUUAAUUUUACAGCAAUAUCUGUUGGAUGAGAGUAUUUUUAUCCACAGGAAGCAAACUCAUUUAAAUCUGGUAUUGAUAGCAACUUGGAAAUGUAUAGUAGUGUGCAGUCCCCAAGCAAGAAUUAAUGAUGAUUUCCAGAAAACUGACAACUUUUAAGUAUAAAACGUAUCAAAAGGUUUCUAAAAAUGAAAAUGUGUUAUAAUUUUUAUAAAGUAUUUUAUACUGCAAUGUGGUAUUUAUGUGAACUGGUCAGGCAACAUUCUUUAAAUUGCCCCAUUCUCACUGCACUUUAUCAUUUUUCCUUCUACCCUCUCGGAUAAGAAGCAAAGCUAAAUAACAUGUUUGCCAUCCUUUUUCUGGCAUGUCUGUUGAACAGUGGUGUUUGCGGGAAGUUUAUCUUGAUUCUUUUUGGGAUCUCCAGUUUGCCUCAUAUUUUAUGGUUUUCAAAAUUCAGCAGGGGAAAAUGUUUUCCCAAAUAGCUUAAAUUUAUGGGGGUAAACUGAUUUAAAAAUAUGUAUAAAUGCAUUUAGUUUUUUUUUUUGGUUUUUUUCCCCUUCUAGUUUCGAGGUGCAAUGGGGAUAAACAAAUGUUUUGUUUUUUUUGCUUGUAUUUUUAUUUUACUUUCGUUACUACAGGCAAAACAAAUGUUUUUCCACUUAAUUUUUCUGCUCCAAUACUGUCGUACAUUUGUCUAUGUAUAUUGCUCAAUUAUUUUAUUUUGCUUUUGAGUUGAUAAUUUUUUUGGGGGGUGGGGGGAAUUUGGCAUUUUCUUGGAUGGGAGGAAAAAUAAAUGUUUUAAUUUAA